rnacentral:rRNA from 1 species
GAUGAACGCUGGCGGCGUGCCUAAUACAUGCAAGUCGAGCGAAAAGACGAUGCUCUUGCUCCUCGGUCGUUAGCGGCGGACGGGUGAGUAACGCGUGUAUAACCUACCUAUAUGACUGGGAUAAUUUCGGGAAACCGGAUCUUAUCCGGGAUCAUCUCUUGCACCGUAUUGUUCAUUGGUGAAAGACGGUUUUGCUGUCUCUUCUAGAUGCAUCUGCGCUGCAUUAGCUAGUUGUUUAGGUAAAGGCUUUCCAAGGCAACGAUGCGUAGACGACGUGAUAGAGUGAUAGGCCGCAUUGGAGGUGAGACACGGACCAGACUCCUACGGGAGGCAGCAGUAGGGAAUGUGACGCAAUAGGCGAAAGCCUGACGGAGCGACGGCGCGUGAGAGAUGGAGGUCUUGGGAUCGGAAAACUCUGUUAUGAGGGAAGAACAAAUGUGGAAGUAACUAUGCACGGAGUGACGGUAACGAAUCAGAAAGCAACGGCUAACUACGUG